UUCGCCCCCUUUUCAUGGCGCGAAAUGAUAACAAGUUUGAUACGACCCACCCCUCCGAUUUCCAAGAUAAAAAAGCGGUUACAACAUUCUGCAUUUCUGGCGAACGCGGCGUUGCCGGAUGUAACAGAUGUAACUGUGUACGUCACGGCUGGGCUUGUACCUACAUUAACUGCCCGUCAUAUAAGCAUAAAGGAGCGGUACCGUGUCGGCUGGCAAGAGACCUGUCACUGUGCCGUUAAAUAUCUUCGGCACUGCUUCGGCAGCUUCAGCUGGAAUUGCAAGAGAACAGCCACCACUUUCAGAGGCAGCUUUGGAGCUGGUAAUGGGAGUUUCUGAACGUGUGAAAAAUCCGCGCACAAAAAAA